UACGUAGGGUGCAAGCGUUAUCCGGAAUUAUUGGGCGUAAAGAGCUCGUAGGCGGUUUGUCGCGUCUGCUGUGAAAACUGGGGGCUCAACCCCCCAGCCUGCAGUGGGUACGGGCAGACUAGAGUGCGGUAGGGGAGAUUGGAAUUCCUGGUGUAGCGGUGGAAUGCGCAGAUAUCAGGAGGAACACCGAUGGCGAAGGCAGGUCACUGGGCCGCAACUGACGCUGAGGAGCGAAAGCAUGGGGAGCGAACAGG
rnacentral:rRNA from 1 species